rnacentral:rRNA from 1 species
GACGAACGCUGGCGGCGUGCUUAACACAUGCAAGUCGAACGGAAAGGCCCUGCUUGCCGGGUACUCGAGUGGCGAACGGGUGAGUAACACAUGGGUGAUCUGCCCUGCACUUCGGGAUAAGCCUGGGAAACUGGGUCUAAUACCGGAUAGGAGCCAUUUUUAGUGUGAUGGUUGGAAAGUUUUUUCGGUGUAGGAUGAGCUCGCGGCCUAUCAGCUUGUUGGUGGGGUAAUGGCCUACCAAGGCGGCGACGGGUAGCCGGCCUGAGAGGGUGGACGGCCACAUUGGGACUGAGAGACGGCCCAGACUCCUACGGGAGGCAGCAGUGGGGAAGAUUGCACAAUGGGCGCAAGCCUGAUGCAGCGACGCCGCGUGGGGGAUGACGGCCUUCGGGUUGUAAACUCCUUUCGCUAGGGACGAAGCUUUUUGUGACGGUACCUAGAGAAGAAGCACCGGCUAACUACGUG